AGAAAGAGCUCAUCAACAGGGGGCUCCGGGGAAGGCGCCGACAGACGCUCCGGGCCCUCUGCCUGUGACAAUCUCAUUAGGCACGGCGCGUUGGAAUCACGAGGAAAGCGAAUGCCGGAGGGUCGGGGCAUAUGCUGAAAUGCUCCACCAUCAAUAUGCGCUGAAGAGCCUAUUUAAGGACACCCCUAUCGUUUUUUUUGUUAAAGUUUGGAGGCAUUACAUAGAGAUUUUCUAACGUUCAAAGAACAAAGCCUCUGGAGCGGGGACGUCCGGGAGCAGCAGCGAGCUCUACCUACCAUGGGGGCCACCUUUCCCAGCUCGCCUCCGCGUCCCUGACCAGCAGCUGGAGCCAGUCAAAGACGACCCGGCUCCUUCCUGCUUCCUCGCCGGCGCGCACACACUCCAUAUUUGGUCAUCCUGGCUCCAAGUUGGGGAGCUUUCCCGGAAGGGGUCCCGGGACCCUGUCCCCCGCAGGUCACACGGUUACCCCCGCCCCGGUGCAGAGUUGGGGAGCGCAGGGCUCGGUCCCCGUUCCGGGCAGCACAGCGGACCCGGGGUGGUCUCCCGGGAAGGCCCGCGUCCCGGAAGCCUUUGUCUGGGCAACUCCCGCCUCCGUGCUACCCGAGGCCCUUGCAAGCCAGCGCGCCGCCAGGCGAGCGCCCGAACCGGCCGCAGAAACAGACCCGGCCAGGGGCUCCGCGAGCCCCUCGGGUGCUCUCACCACCAUGCACCACCAUGCACCCCAGGCGCACCCUGGAGCGCGCCGCGCCGCGCCCAACGCCCGCGCUGCAAAAGGCGUCCCUCAACGCUUCGGGGGCUCUCCCCUCACCCCAGCCCUUCCCUGCCUAGCCUUGCUGCAUCGGCUCCCGAGCCAAGUGCAGAGCGGACACGCUGCCCCGCUUAAAAACGGUGACAUCUCUGCUCGCUUCCCGGUCUGCCCCCGGCCGGCUACGGUCACGUGAGCCGAGCGCCGAAGCCCGCCGGCGAGGGGCAGCAGGGUGCACGCCGCUCCUCGGGCGCCGUCUCCGCCCAGGUCUGGCGGUGCUGAGCUGAGCCCGCUCUGGGGACCCGGGUCCCAGCCCACGAUUCCCCUGGCUGCUGCGCCUUCGCCGGGUACCCGGGUCCAUCCUUUACACGUGGCCACAUCUUCCCCGGGGACUCGCUCACCUCUCCGCCUCCUUUUAUUUUUUGAUGAAAAACUGGGGUACGUCGGUCCGGACCUGGCUAUCUUCUCCAACGCACUGGGGAGGAAGAGGCUGAGGAAGGAAGUGACAAAGAGAAGGGCUGGAGCAGGCGCCGCCAGAAAACUGCCACUGAUGACAGCAGGAUGGUUCCAUUUGCAAAGCAAAACGCAUUCUUGAACAUCGAUUUGUCUUACUGCAGAGAAACGUUACUGGGGCCCAGUUGAGACUGCCAACUCAUCAUCCAGGCUGUGCGGAUGUCCCAUAAGCAACCUUUUGAUGUCAAGAGGCUAAGAACUCCACCCUCAGAUCAUGCUAACAGCCAUUUUGUGAGCAUGGGUCCCAUGAAGAGGCAUGAAGUCUGACUACGCUUGCACAGAUCGUCAAUUACCCGACCUCUCCUCACCUCCAGUCAUCUAUCUCCAGGCUUAAGACCACCUUGUCCUUUGCCCCGUAAAUAUCCCUGAGUCCCCAUUUUCUGGGAGGCAGAUUUGAGAUUCAUUCUCCCGUUUCCUCACUUGGCUGCCCUGUGA